CAGUAGCGCGGUAAUACGUAGGGUGCAAGCGUUAAUCGGAAUUACUGGGCGUAAAGCGUGCGCAGGCGGUUUGUUAAGACAGAUGUGAAAUCCCCGGGCUCAACCUGGGAACUGCAUUUGUGACUGGCAAGCUAGAGUGUGGCAGAGGGGGGUGGAAUUCCGCGUGUAGCAGUGAAAUGCGUAGAUAUGCGGAGGAACACCGAUGGCGAAGGCAGCCCCCUGGGCCAACACUGACGCUCAUGCACGAAAGCGUGGGGAGCAAACAGGAUUAGAUACCCGAGUAGUCCCUGUCUCUUAUACC
rnacentral:rRNA from 1 species